AUGGGGUGGCCUUGGCGGCAUGCAGCCCUUCGACCUUGGUGGCAGUACACCGAGUACUGCGCCCUUCGGUCUCGGUGGCACGUUGCCUUUCGACUUCGCCGGCGGCACACCGGUGCCGCCGCUCGAACUCGGCUAUCCGACGCCCUUCGUUCGCGCCAUUGGCGAUUCUUGGUAUGCUUCUACUUUGGUGUCCCUUUUUUAAUAGGGUUGUGUUUCAUAGUGGCUCGAGCGACGUUUGCGUGGACAUCCUGGGGGUGGCCUCGGCGGCACUCUACCCUUCGACCUCGGUGGCGGUACACCCGUGUCGUGCCUUUCGGUCUCGGUGGCGUGAUGUCUUUCGGCUUCUCCGGCGGCACACCGGUGUCGCCGCACGAACUCGGCUAUCCGACGCCCUUCGUACGUGCCAGUGAUGUUUCCCUUUGGUGCCUGUCAUUUUCUCCCUAG
rnacentral:rRNA from 1 species